UGGUAUCCGACAAAAAAUUGU
ensembl:piRNA 21ur-5349 ncRNA